rnacentral:rRNA from 1 species
AUGGCUGAUCAAGCAAGUGAACUUGAAGCCCUGGAGCUCAUAUUGACAGAUGCAAAUGCAGAGCCUACCAAGCUAUCAUAUGCACUUAUAAAGUCAAUUACAACAAAUUUCUCUCAAGAGAUUGGUCUUGGUGGUUUUGGAGUCGUUUACCUGGGAGUUCUUCGGAAUGAGAAAGUUGCUGUCAAGAAACUUUUUAUAGAGCAGGAUUUUUCUGAUGAGCUAUUUGUGGAUGAGGUUAACUGUUUAGUAAGGGCAAAACACAAUAAUAUAGUAAGAUUCUUAGACUAUUGUGCGGAUACACAAGGGGAAUUGGUAAAAUUUGAUGGAAGACAUGUUAUGGCAGAGCUACGACAAAGGUUGCUCUGCUUUGAGUAUGUUCCUAAUGGAAACCUUCACGAUUACAUUAAAGGGAUAUCUCAUGGAGAUGAAUGGCAAAUACGCUAUAAAAUGAUUAAGGGAAUUUGUCAUGGAUUGCAAUAUCUUCAUAAAGAACGUAUCACCCAUUUGGAUUUGAAACCAGACAAUGUUCUGCUCGACGCUUACAUGGAACCGAAAAUUACAGACUUCGGUUUGUCAAGAUUAUUUGAUGAAGGACAAUCUAGAGUGUUUACUAAAAACGUUCCUGGAACACGGGGAUAUAUUGCACCAGAGGUCAUAGACAAAGGAGAAAUAUCGUUCAAGUCAGACAUAUUUGCUUUGGGAAUUGUAGUCUCAAAGCUAUUAGUGGGGCAGAACAAUUAUGACAUUGAAAAUUGGCAUGAAUCAUUAGAUGUGGACUGCACACAAGCGAAGAGCUGCAUCCAAAUAGCUCAAUCUUGUAUGGAAGCUGACCAACAUAAGCGACCUACAGCAGAGGAAAUAAUCAAGAAACUGAAUGAGAUGGAGAGCCUAGGGUCUUCCAUAUACAGGACAAACUCAUCCGACUCAGAGAACCUGAUUCAGGUAGAGCCUCUUGAACUCCAUUUCCACUUGGAGCCAAACACGCACAUAUCAGUGACACAAAAACUAAAGCUAGCCAAUAUUACUGAUGACUACGUUGCUUUCAAUGCAAUGGAAUGGUCCAGCAUGGCGAAGUAUGGAUUCUCUUGGUCAGGGCCAAGCAGAGGAAUCCUGUUACCAUGGUCCACGCAUGAACUUGGGCUAAUAAGGGAAGCACAUGAGAUGUCACCACUGUCUGUGCAGUGCAAUGACGUGCUCAUUGUGCGGAGCACCGUGGUGAGCGAGGGUUUCAAGACCCGCUACAUAGCUCUGGACAUGUUCAAAACACACACGGGUAGAAAAGUGCAUGAGGUGAAAUUGGGCAUUCUUGUUGUACCAUCCCUAGCAGAGUCCUCAGCAUGUACAGCACAUACUCUAUCAAUGUCUCCAACAGAAAACCAGGAUCUCAAAAAGGCCAAAGAGGAGCUUCAUAGGCUGGGUUUAAGUGCACAUGAGAGACCACAUGACACAAAUGCUCAGCUGAGUUCCCUAACUAAGGCUAAUUAG